rnacentral:rRNA from 1 species
GAUGAACGCUGGCGGCGUGCCUAAUACAUGCAAGUCGAGCGAACAGACGAGGAGCUUGCUCCUCUGACGUUAGCGGCGGACGGGUGAGUAACACGUGGAUAACCUACCUAUAAGACUGGGAUAACUUCGGGAAACCGGAGCUAAUACCGGAUAAUAUAUUUAACCGCAUGGUUCAAUAGUGAAAGACGGUUUUGCUGUCACUUAUAGAUGGAUCCGCGCCGCAUUAGCUAGUUGGUAAGGUAACGGCUUACCAAGGCAACGAUGCGUAGCCGACCUGAGAGGGUGAUCGGCCACACUGGAACUGAGACACGGUCCAGACUCCUACGGGAGGCAGCAGUAGGGAAUCUUCCGCAAUGGGCGAAAGCCUGACGGAGCAACGCCGCGUGAGUGAUGAAGGUCUUCGGAUCGUAAAACUCUGUUAUUAGGGAAGAACAAAUGAGUAAGUAACUAUGCACGUCUUGACGGUACCUAAUCAGAAAGCCACGGCUAACUACGUG